UACGAAGGGGGCUAGUGUUGCUCGGAAUCACUGGGCGUAAAGGGUGCGUAGGCGGGGCUUUAAGUCAGGGGUGAAAUCCUGGAGCUCAACUCCAGAACUGCCUUUGAUACUGAAGAUCUUGAGUUCGGGAGAGGUGAGUGGAACUGCGAGUGUAGAGGUGAAAUUCGUAGAUAUUCGCAAGAACACCAGUGGCGAAGGCGGCUCACUGGCCCGAUACUGACGCUGAGGCACGAAAGCGUGGGGAGCAAACAGG
rnacentral:rRNA from 1 species